rnacentral:rRNA from 1 species
AGAGUUUGAUCCUGGCUCAGGACGAACGCUGGCGGCGCGCCUAACACAUGCAAGUCGAACGGAGCUUAGAGAGCUUGCUUUUUAAGCUUAGUGGCGAACGGGUGAGUAACGCGUGAGUAACCUGCCCUAGAGUGGGGGACAACAGUUGGAAACGACUGCUAAUACCGCAUAAGCCCACGGUACCGCAUGGUACUGAGGGAAAAGGAUUUAUUCGCUUUAGGAUGGACUCGCGUCCAAUUAGCUAGUUGGUGAGGUAACGGCCCACCAAGGCGACGAUUGGUAGCCGGACUGAGAGGUUGAACGGCCACAUUGGGACUGAGACACGGCCCAGACUCCUACGGGAGGCAGCAGUGGGGGAUAUUGCACAAUGGGGGAAACCCUGAUGCAGCGACGCCGCGUGGAGGAAGAAGGUCUUCGGAUUGUAAACUCCUGUUGUUGAGGAAGAUAAUGACGGUACUCAACAAGGAAGUGACGGCUAACUACGUGCCAGCAGCCGCGGUAAAACGUAGGUCACAAGCGUUGUCCGGAAUUACUGGGUGUAAAGGGAGCGCAGGCGGGAAGACAAGUUGGAAGUGAAAUCCAUGGGCUCAACCCAUGAACUGCUUUCAAAACUGUUUUUCUUGAGUAGUGCAGAGGUAGGCGGAAUUCCCGGUGUAGCGGUGGAAUGCGUAGAUAUCGGGAGGAACACCAGUGGCGAAGGCGGCCUACUGGGCACCAACUGACGCUGAGGCUCGAAAGUGUGGGUAGCAAACAGGAUUAGAUACCCUGGUAGUCCACACCGUAAACGAUGAUUACUAGGUGU